AUGCUUAACAGUCGACACAAUGCCACGUACACAGGCGUGCAGCUGCGCUCGCGAACGUGAGCCCAAGCCAGACCAGCGUGCGGCACACGUUGUCAUUUCCGUCGUGAAACAUUUGACCACGUUAUAACGCUAAUAUCGCGCGUCACCGUGUCAAGGGUGAGAGUUGAAUAUUUAAUUCGCGGUAUUGUCGGAGCCCUCGGUGCCGCUCGAUUGCUUCUUUCUUUCCGUCUCCUCUGUGCGCUCGGUUCCGACUAAUUAAUCGUGAGAUUUCUUUUGCUACUGCUUGCGUCACGAGCAACGAUUCCGAUAAUGGAUGGCGGACGUUCAUAUAUUACUUUAUAUGAUUCAUGAAUAACUAGCCAAAUCCAUAGAUACACCAUCGAGACGAUCUGGAUAUGUAUUAAUGCAAAAUGACAGAUAAUCAGGGAAACGAAUACAGAGUUACGCGUACCAUGAAGAUAAACUAAUUUCAUAAGACAAACAUAAAUGGCUGGUAAUAUUUCAUAAGACGAAGAGUUGACUGGAUCUUCUGGCCCUUUGAAUUUGAUCAGAACAUAAAUCUCAAGAUGUACUCUUCAUAAACUUUUUCGAAGGGUCUUGCUGCGAACACGUUGAAUGGUAACCAUGGAAAAUUGGGUAAACCCGGCCGCCGGAAUAUUGCACGUUGUCAUCAAAGGAUUAAUUGAAAAUGGAGAUGACAUUGUCGCCGCUUGAAAAUUACUGGGAAUGUGGAUUAUCGGAGCGCCGGGUAUAAACGUAUCUCUAUUUAUAAUGUCACUUCGAAUUGGGAUAUCUGAAUUGACGACAUCAUGAUUGCAACAAACCAAAAGGAUAAUCUUUAGUACACGCAUUUCAUUCUUAUUAUUUGCAAUAUCGUUUUACAUUUGCAACGGUAAAUGAACAGCAGUAAAGUAACUAUGCCAGGAUAAACCACUGUAUGGAUAAAUGAAAGGUGCAAGCUCUCGAUUAGAGGUAAGAGGUUUAAAACUGAACUAAAACUAUGAAUUCAACGGCUGUUCCUUUAAAGUACUUGUGUGCUUGGAGCUACAUUAGCUUAUUGUUAGUAAUAAUACCAAUUUUAUUAUACAUGAAUGCAUUGAUACGCAAAACGUAAUUUCGCGUUUACAAGAGCUUACCAUGUACUGUAUGUAUACGUGCGAAAUAAUUGAAGGAUUCGAGAUUAAUUUACAACACCAUAAAUUGUAUAUUUAAUACAAUGAUGUAGUAAUUAUAAUGGCUACUAAUAAUAUAUGAAUGCGUUAUAGAUAAUUUCGAAUUAUUAGUUGUUGCAUAUGAUACAAUUAGCGAUUAUAGACUAUUAUCUAAAGUAUAUACUAUUUAAGUUUCGUGUAAUGAUUUGUGUAAAUGUCCUUUCAUUGUUAAUUGUUUAGUAUCGUUUAUAAUACGAAUACACGUAUGGAAAUUACUUUGGAUGUAAAGUGGAAUUGUUAUGAGAGAAAAUUUUUGCACGUCGCGAAAUAUUUCUUUAUUUCUAAAAAAAUAUAAUGUAUGUAAAAAAUGAAAUGCAUAGGUCAAUAGAAUUAGUGUUUAAGAAAUUACAAACUUCAUAGUAUUAUUUACAUGUAUGAACAUGCACAUGAAAUUCGCAAUUUUUGUAAAUUUACAAUCCAUAUUUCAAGUAAUUUAAAUUUAAAAUAAAACUGUUAUUAAAACAAACCAUUUUAUAUAUAAAAUGGUAAUAUUAUAUCGAUAUCUAAUACUAUAUAUAUAAUAUUAUUAACAAUAGUGUUAUGAAAUAUAUAAUAUUAAUAAUAGUACUAUGAAAUAUUCUCCUUUCUUCCUAAAGAAAUGUAUACGACUAUUUUAGUUAGAUGGAAUUAAUAAACUGACAAUACUACAACAUUACACAAUAAAUUUCUUCGAAAUGGAAAUAUAUUUUUCUGAUACUGUAUCAAAUUAUUGUAAAAAUUCUAAUAAAGAAAUUGUGGCGUUUCCAUUGCGCGUGGGAAGUUAACUAUCAGAAUAUGUAAUUUUCGAUGACAAAAUAUUUUGUGCGGUCAUCAGAGGAUUAAUUGAAAAUGGAAAUGUCACCAGCACUGUACUGCAAUUGCGAGUUCGUAGGUGGACACAGCAAUAGGUGUGAAUGCAUGAAAGAGCAAACGACAGUAAUAGGUAUUGUAUUGCAAAACAACUGGCAGCAGUGCACUUUCGAAGAGUGUCGUAUGCGUUCGUUAAUUAGUUUAUUCGGUCUAUUAUUAUUUGAAAACUCCAUGUUGAGUAUGUCGCGUUAUUGUGUACAAGCGAACGCAAAUAAUCAUCAUUCCUUCUUCAUAGAUGAGCAUAAAUUGCACUGCAAUUACGUAGAUUAUUUUAUCAUAACAGAAAGAAUGAGAGUAAUAAGUAUACACUAUGGCUCAAAAGUAUCUGAACAUUCGUUGAUUCUUGGCAAAAUAUAUUUUAAGGACAAAAUUACAAACAAAUUAAAUUGCUCCGAUUUUAUUCCUUAUAAUUGUCAUAGCUAUGUGUAAUAGCAUGUUAUGAUCCG